rnacentral:rRNA from 1 species
AUUGAACGCUGGCGGCAUGCUUUACACAUGCAAGUCGAGCGGUAACAGGCCGCAAGGUGCUGACUAGUGCCGAACGGGUGAGUAAUACAUCGGAACGUGCCCAGGCGAGGGGGAGAACUAGUCGAGAAAGUGGCGAAAACCCCAUACGCUCUCUGGGUGAAAGCGGGGGACCGUAAGGCCUCUCGCGCUUUCAGAUGCCCAUGUCAGAUUAGCUAGUUGGUGGGGUAAAGGCUCACCAAGGCAACGAUCUGUAACUGGUCUGAGAGGAUGAGCAGUCACACUGGGACUGAGACACGGCCCAGACUCCUACGGGAGGCAGCAGUGGGGAAUUUUGGACAAUGGGCGCAAGCCUGAUCCAGCCAUGCCGCGUGUAGGAAGAAGGCCUUCGGGUUGUAAAGUGCUUUUGUAUGGAAGGAAAGGGAUUUGGUUAAUACCCGGCGCUAAUGACGUUACCGUCAGAAUAAGCACCGGCUAACUACGUG